rnacentral:rRNA from 1 species
UACAGAGGUCUCAAGCGUUGUUCGGAUUCAUUGGGCGUAAAGGGUGCGUAGGCGGCGCGGUAAGUCGGGUGUGAAAUCCCCAGGCUUAACCUGGGAACUGCAUCUGAUACUGGAUGGCUUGAAUCCGGGAGAGGGAUGCAGAAUUCCAGGUGUAGCGGUGAAAUGCGUAGAUAUCUGGAGGAAUACCGGUGGCGAAGGCGGCAUCCUGGACCGGCAUUGACGCUGAUGAGCGAAAGCUAGGGGAGCAAACGGG